CUUGGUCAUUUAGUGGAAGUCGCCGAAAGUACGGAAUACCUGCUGAUGGCUGGGACCAUUGGUGCCGCGUUGCUCGGACUCAGCCUCGCCUAUUUGUUUUAUGCCGCGAAACCGGAACUGCCGGUGCAACUGGCUGCCAAGGCGCAGGCCGCUUACUCACUCCUGGUUAACAAGUACUA
rnacentral:misc_RNA from 1 species